GAGUCUGUAGCCUAGUUGGUUAAGGCAUCACUCUAGUAAACUGAGGUUGUGAGUUUGACUCUCACCAGACACA
rnacentral:tRNA from 1 species